GGACAACUUGCCCAAGGGUCCGGGNAUANCCCCGGGAAANUGGGGAUAAUACCGGAAUGGAUCACUUAUGNUGGAAUGCUUGGUGGUCGAAAGGUGACGCCCUUGGAUGGGUNUGCGGCGGAUUAGGUUGACGCCGGUGUAACGUACCGGCGUGCCUGUAAUCCGUACGGGUUGUGGGAGCAAGAGCCCGGAGAUGGAUUCUGAGACACGAAUCCAGGCCCUACGGGGCGCAGCAGGCGCGAAAACUCUACAAUGCAGGCAACUGCGAUAGGGGGACAUCGAGUGGCAUCCACCUUGGGUGCCUGUCCCACCGUCUAAAAAACGGUGGUUAGCAAGGGCCGGGCAAGACCGGUGCCAGCCGCCGCGGUAAUACCGGCGGCUCGAGUGGUGGCCGAUAUUAUUGAGUCUAAAGGGUCCGUAGCCGGCUUUGCAAGUCCCCUGGGAAAUCCAGCGGCUUAACCGUUGGGCUUUCAUGGGAUACUACAUUGCUUGGGACUGGGAGAGGUAGGAGGUACUCGGGGGGUAGGGGUGAAAUCCUGUAAUCCCCCGGGGACCACCGGUGGCGAAGGCGUCCUACCAGAACAGGUCCGACGGUGAGGGACGAAAGCUAGGGGCACGAACCGGAUUAGAUACCCGGGUAGUCCUAGCCGUAAACGAUGCCCGCUAGGUGUCACGGCGGUCGUGAAUCGCCGUGGUGCCGUAGGGAAGCCGCGAAGCGGGCCACUUGGGAAGUACGGCCGCAAGGCUGAAACUUAA
rnacentral:rRNA from 1 species